rnacentral:rRNA from 1 species
GAUGAACGCUAGCGGCAGGCUUAACACAUGCAAGUCGAGGGGUAUUAGUUUUCGGACUAAGAGACCGGCGCACGGGUGCGUAACGCGCAUGCAAUCUGCCUUUCACAGAGGGAUAGCCCAGAGAAAUUUGGAUUAAUACCUCAUAGUAUUAUAGACUGGCAUCGGUUUAUAAUUAAAGUCACAACGGUGAAAGAUGAGCAUGCGUCACAUUAGCUAGUUGGUAAGGUAACGGCUUACCAAGGCGACGAUGGGUAGGGGUCCUGAGAGGGAGAUCCCCCACACUGGUACGGAGACACGGACCAGACUCCUACGGGAGGCAGCAGUGAGGAAUAUUGGUCAAUGGACGCAAGUCUGAACCAGCCAUGCCGCGUGCAGGAUGACGGUCCUAUGGAUUGUAAACUGCUUUUGUACGAGAAGAAACACUCCUACGUGUAGGAGCUUGACGGUAUCGUAAGAAUAAGGAUCGGCUAACUCCGUGCCAGCAGCCGCCGUAACAC